UUUUUUUUUGAGUUAUUAAGAAUUGAGAAAAGCUAAGAUGACAUUCCGUGAGAGUGACGUUUCCACGUAUACCACAUAUCCACGUGAUAUGCUUGUCAGCCAAAAGUCCAUAUCUGACAUAUAUGGUACAAGUU